GAUGAACGCUAGCGGCAGGCUUAACACAUGCAAGUCGAGGGGCAGCACGUCUUCGGAUGGUGGCGACCGGCGCACGGGUGCGUAACGCGUAUAGAACCUACCUUUUACAGGGGAAUAGCCCAGAGAAAUUUGGAUUAAUGCCCCAUAGUAUUAUUAGAUGGCAUCAUUUGAUAAUUAAACAUUUAUGGGUAAAAGAUGGCUAUGCGUUCUAUUAGCUAGAUGGUAAGGUAACGGCUUACCAUGGCGACGAUAGAUAGGGGUCCUGAGAGGGAGAUCCCCCACACUGGUACUGAGACACGGACCAGACUCCUACGGGAGGCAGCAGUGAGGAAUAUUGGACAAUGGGCGAGAGCCUGAUCCAGCCAUGCCGCGUGCAGGAAGACGGUCCUAUGGAUUGUAAACUGCUUUUUAUACAGGAAGAAACACUCCCUCGUGAGGGAAUUUGACGGUACUGUAUGAAUAAGCACCGGCUAACUCCGUGCCAGCAG
rnacentral:rRNA from 1 species